rnacentral:rRNA from 1 species
CCUACGGGUGGCUGCAGUCGAGAAUCUUCGGCAAUGGGCGCAAGCCUGACCGAGCGAUGCCGCGUGCGGGAUGAAGGCCUUCGGGUUGUAAACCGCUGUCGAGGGGGAGCAACUUCCAUAGAGUUAUCUUUAUGGAUUGAGUGAUCCCUGGAGGAAGGACGGGCUAAGUUCGUGCCAGCAGCCGCGGUAAGACGAACCGUCCAAACGUUAUUCGGUAUCACUGGGCUUAAAGAGUUCGUAGGCGGCUAAACAGGUGAGGUGUGAAAGCCCUCGGC